rnacentral:sRNA from 1 species
GCUGGGCAUGGUGGCAACACGCCUGUAAUCCCAGUGACUAGGGAGGCUGAGGCAGGAGGAUCAUGAGUUCAAAGCCAGACUCAGCAACUUAAGGAGGGCCUAAGCAACUCAGUGAGACCCUGUCUCUA